rnacentral:tRNA from 1 species
AGGAGCGUGGCUCAGUGGAAAGAGCACGGGCUUGGGAGUCAGAGGUCAUGGGUUCGAAUCCCACCUCUGCCA